UUAAAUUGAAGAGUUUGAUCAUGGCUCAGAUUGAACGCUGGCGGCAGGCCUAACACAUGCAAGUCGAACGGUAACAGAAAGCAGCUUGCUGCUUUGCUGACGAGUGGCGGACGGGUGAGUAAUGUCUGGGAAACUG
rnacentral:rRNA from 1 species